CAAAAGCGUGGUAUGGUCCAGAGGACGAUUGCUGGAUCCUGAAAUAGCAAAUGGCAUCCUGGAUCAUGUGUCUGAAUUUCUGGAUGCUUUGGAAACAUUGCCCCAACAGGACGUUCUCCAGGCUUAUAGUGCUCCACUGCAAAGGGGUUCAUCUGGUCGUCCACAAUUAUCUAUCACACGAGCAGUUGCAGUUUCUGCUAAAAUAUAAUUUUUGGACAAAACAAAUGAAAUCUUGGGAGUCUCCAAACGAACUGUGAAGCGGCAUUUAAGAAGGACAGAUAUAUGAGAGGAACAUGUCAAUCUCAUUGCUGACGACUACACCGGCUGGAUGAAUGUCUUCAGGUGUGUAGUGACAUGAAGUCAUCUGCCAGACAUCAAAGUAGACCACUCCCUUAACAUCUCUGAACAUCUCUCUCAAUACGGUGUUUAACUGCAUCCUGUGCCAGUCAUUUCCUAAUUCAUUCUGUAACAAAACAAACUCUAGUUACAAAAAAGUGCUAGAAUGAAGCAAAGUAUAAGUGUUAAGGUCAUUUGACGGCAAUUACGCCAAAAAACAAGAAUUUGCGACUAAUGAACCUACACUGAAAAAGAAGAUUGGACACCGGUUCCAAAUGAUUGAGUUUUCUUAAAAUGUUAUUAAUUAACGUUAAUUUCAUUUUGAGAAAUAUUGAUUCAAUCAUGUUGAACUGGUGUCUAUCAUUGAAUUACAUAGAUCCAGCAAGUUUUAUUUCAUUUUAAGAAAACCUUAAUUUAAUCAUGUCAAACCAAUGUGUUUUUUACAGUGUACAUCAACAUCUAUCGGCUCUCCUGAUUUUGCCAAGUGGUUGAUGUCCUCAGGGCAACAUUAUGUUGACCCUGGGACAACAUUUCAAUCAACCAAUCAGAUUUCAGAAAUAAGUUUACAGU